rnacentral:rRNA from 1 species
CCCUUAGAUGUCCGGGGCCGCACGCGCGCUACACUGAAGGAAUCAGCGUGGCUUUCUCCCUGACCCGAAAGGGUUGGGAAACCCGUUGAAUCUCCUUCGUGAUUGGGAUAGGGACUUGCAAUUGUUUCCCUUGAACGAGGAAUUCCCAGUAAGCGCAAGUCAUCAGCUUGCGUUGAUUACGUCCCUGCCCUUUGUACACACCGCCCGUCGCUACUACCGAUUGAAUGGUUUAGUGAGAUCCUUGGAUCGGCCCUGUCGCGGCUGGCAACGGCCGCGUCGGCGCGUCGAGAAGACGAUCAAACUUGAUCAUUUAGAGGAAGUAAAAGUCGUAACA